CCAUCACCACAGCUAUAGUGUCACCCACUCCCCUUGCCUAAGUAAUAACAGCACCAACAGCGCUAACAGUAGCCAGCUAAAGCCCCAGCUCAUUCAAUCACCCUGAUAUGAAUCUGCCUAAAACUCAGCCAUUGAGCAUGCAGCUAAAUCCAUCAGCACAGGCUUAAGAUCGGUGGCACACACGGCACUGAUAAGACAUUCUCUGUGGUCAGGGCCCUGUGAUGAAGAGCAGAGCAGCAGCCGCGACUGCGGGCUGGAUGGAUAACUGCAGCACUCAAAGUUAAAACUGUGGUAACGGAUGAGAACCAUUAGAAAAACACUUGCUGUUCUGGCUUUGGUUCAUUUUUUUCUGCUACAAGAGUCAAGGUUUGAACAGCUUCAGUAAAGCAGAGGGAAAUAUCCUAAAGCGAGAUGUACCGGAACACUGGCCUGUUUUAUCAGGAAAGAAUCAAAAAGAUGCCAGUACAGAAGCAGAAACAGGCCAGCAGUGGACUCCUGCAGAGCGGACGCAGCUGCCACAGCGUGGAGAGAAAACCAUCACCCCAAAAUGAGAUUCCAUUUCUCCUCUAACAUCCUCAACACUUUGAUCCAGGCCAUAUCUCUCUGCUGCACCUCAGCUUGCUGCAGGGACGCCGGUCUCCGCUGCCACAGUGCAGAUUGUAAAUAAACAUUUUUUCCUCUCCUGUCCUCUGUUGCAUGACCUCAAAGAAGAUUAGAAAUUAUUCAGUUGCUCAUCUUUCCCUUCCAAAAUGAAUAAAAGAGCGGGGCUGUUAUCUGCUCUCCGUCUUUCCUGAGA